UAUUAACAUGAAAUUACAGAAUGUGUUAUCAAAUGGUACAAUUCAUGAUAAUAUAGGCGUGUAUUUGUAUGAGUGUACACGUAUAAUUGCGCGUUUGAGCUGUUGCUGCUUGGCACAUUUCGGCGAGUGCGUGCACGGUGUUUGCUUGAGAGCUUCCUGCGUUUUCUGCGUUCUUUGUGUGCUUCGCUGUGACAUGUUUGGAAUAUUCCUGCGUGUUGCUCGGUUUUUAUGGGCUCGUUGCCUCGAAGAUCGCCAUGAUCGCCUCCGACUCGGCGACAUUAACGAUUCAAAAUGAGCUGAGAGACACCCAAGCUGGAAUGCUAAAGGUUCACAUAGGCUGUAAGAGUGCACAUUCAGAAGGUUAUCCUGGCCCAGCUUACUAUGGCCUGCCAUGGUGGACCAGGAAAGUUUGCAAGGGCCUUCCUUCACCAUGUGUUCACAGAGGAGGAGCUCAUGGGCCAUUUGGGCUUUGGAAAUAACACCAAGGGGCAACAGAGGCUCUUGACCCCAUCAGGGUCAGUGCUGUUAUAGGCUUCACGUGUCGCAAAUUUUCUGGUACCAACAUGCCCUAUGUAAAGAACGCUGGCCUCGCUUCUCGCAUGGGACCCUGCCCCUUCACCUCUGAAGAGCCCAAGUUGGACAGCUCAAACCAAAACACAAGUGUUGUGCUCUUGUAACUCUCGACAUUCUUAUGUUUUAUGUUAGUCUCCUGAAGGACCCAAUUUGGAUUUCUCAAAUGAGCAUACAAAUGUUGUGCCUUUCUAUGGCUUGAAAUUUUAUGUUAAUAUUAUUUAUGUUAAUUAUGCUAGUCUCUUGAGAAGCCCACAUUGGAUUGCUCAAUCCAGAAUACAAGGGCUGUGCUUUGUUAUAGUUCACUACAUUUUUAUGUUAGUUUUUGAUAUGGUUCCAGAAAGGAUAGUGUUUCCUUAUUAAUAUAUUUUUUAAGUAUCUUAAGUCAUUUCAUGCCAAACCACCCAACAAUUUUUUCAAGAACUGUUCCAUUAUGGCAAACCAUUUCAAGUUUGCUUGAUUUUGAGUAGGUACAGCGAGAAAAUGUUCGAGAAAAUUUGCUUUCAUACAUACUCUUAAGUCAUUCCAGGGCAACCAACCAGCGUUUUUUUGGCCAUCACAGAUAUAGUUGAUGCUCCGAACUCUUGCUCCCCAUUUAUUUUCCUUCACAAAAAUUUUUUUGAAUUUUGGCAAAAAUUUAUUGUUCUUGCCCAGCUAAGCUAGAAGCCACUGAUACACAUUUCUUCUGAAAGGGAAAUUGUAUGAUCCAGUUAUUCAGAUGGUGUUCAUGUCAAGAGACUGAAGUGGUGACUGCCAAAAUUUGCAAAGUUUGAAUUUUCUUCUAACGUAGGGAAAUACAGAAGGCACAAAACGAAUAUAAAAUCAGACUGGUUGACUUGGUAUAGCUGCAAAAUAUUUCAAGCCUUGGAGCUUCAGUUGAUCAGCUAAAAAAACUAAAGUUGAAAUUUUUUGCAAGCUUCGUGUUGAAGGUAAAAAAUUAGCUUUGGUGGUUGGCACAAAAAUGUGUCACCCAUCACUACACAGCCGUACAUGUCUGCUAUGCAUGUGACAAGUAACAAAAAGUUAUUAUUCUUUAAGUGCGAUAAAUUAUUUUUUAUAAUGUUCAUUUGUGGAUCACACAUACAGCAUGAAUAUAUGAAGCCAUGUCAUCUAGCAAGGAAAGGUUGUUAAUAUAUUAGCCACAAGAACUACUCAACAAACUGACUGCCUUUUUUAUCAUUACGAAAGCAGGUGACAUCAAGCGCUGCUGCUGCAGUCUCAACUCGUAUUUUUUUAACUUGAACGCAAAAAGUGGUCGCCAAUGGUGUCUGACCACAUCAGACUGAACAUGGCACAUAUGACUUUCAUAGAUGAGCAUGUUCCAGCUCUGAAACAGUGGUAGCAAACAACACCACAAGAAUUUGUUCAUACUCAUGUAGGUUUUCAGUCUGAAUUAUGAAGGUGUUUUCUACUUGCAUCAUCAUUGGGCUUCAGGGAGCAGGGCACAAAGUGUCCUGCUCCCUCUAUGUUUCAUUGCAAUGCGACAUGCCCUUUAAGAUGCUUUGUAUGAACAAUAUCAGUGCUCUUUCUGGAUUUACUGUCUACAUAAUAGCUGAUAUUUCUUUUUCUAAACUGCAUGGAACAUAUCUUUUAGCACUGCAGGAUUCCCUCACAUAUUUAUUACGUACGAGGUCUGUUAGAAAAGUAUUCGACCUUUUUUUGCGAACACCUGAUGAAUAUGAAACAAGCACGUUUUCAUCAGCCGCCCUUGAACCUUUGUGCGCAUGCACGAAUUUUUUCCCACCUGCCAAUAUCGUGAAUUGCUGAGACGCAUCGUUUGAAUGAGGUAGUACAGUGUUCUCGUCAAUUUUUUAUUGCACGGAAAAUGGCAGAGCGACUGGAGCAGUGCUACUGCAUCAAAUUUUGCCAGAAACUGGGCGACAGCCAAGUGGAAACCAUCCGGAAGAUUCAGACUGCUUUCGGUGACUAUGCUCUGAGCAGCACAGAGAUUAAGGAGUGGUACAACCAGUAUAAAGACGGCCACACAUCGGUGGAGAGCGAGCCACGCUCCAGUCGGCCAUCAACAUGCCGAAAUGACCAGGUCAUUGCCGAAGUGAACCCCGUGGUGAUGCGGGACCGUAGUGUAACUAUCCAAGAAAGUGCGGAAGAGGUGGGUAUCAGUACAUUUUAUCCACAUUCCAUUAUCAUCGAAGAUUUGGCCAUGAAGAGAGUUGCGCCGAAAUUCGUUCCCAAGCUGCUCAUGGUGGAGCAAAAGCAACUUCGCGUUGAAGUCUCACAGACAUGCUGAAUUCCACAAACAGUGACCCCAACUUCAUGAACACCAUAAUCACUUGUGACAAGUCUUGGGUGUAUGUUUACGACCCGGAAACCAAAUCCCAGUCGUUACAGUGGAAGCAUUCCACACCAUAAUCACUUGUGACAAGUCUUGGGUGUAUGCUUACGACCCGGAAACCAAAUCCCAGUCGUUACAGUGGAAGCAUUCCACGUCGCCAACCAAAGACCGCUAAGUGUGCAGCAACGUCAAAGUGUUGCUGACUGCUUUCUUUGACACCCGCAGUGUGGUACACCACGGAUACACACCACAGGGUCAAACAAUCACUAAAGACUACUACAGGGAUGUCCUCCAUGGCCUAUGUGAUCCUGUAUGGAGCAAGAUACCGAAGUUGUCAACAGGAAAUUGCCACAUCCAUCACGACAAUGCUUUUCUUGCACUUGAUUCAGACUUUUUUGGCGAAAAACCAGACUCCUGUAGUGCGACAGGCUCCUUGCUCUCCUGAUAUGGCGGCCUGCAACUUCUGGCUGUUUCCCAAAAUCAAGGGGUCAUUGAAACAAGCGUGAUUUCAGACAAGAGAAGACAUUAUGGCUGCAACGACAGCUGAGCUAAAGUCCAUUUGGAAAGAGGCCUUCUCGGAAUGCUUCUAACAAUGGCAGCACCGCUGGGAGAAGUGGCUGGAUUCCCAAGGAGACUACUUUGAGGGUGAUUAAGUUUCCAACGCUUCAGUUAUGCCAGUUUUUUUUCUUCAGCCAAAGGUUGGAUACUCUUCUAACAGACCUCGUAUUGAUAUUUGAUGUGCAAUGGCUGUAUGGUUUACCUGGCCCACACCAAACACAAGCCUCGUUGCAUUAGAGCAUGUGUCCCUUGGCAAUAAAAUGCAGACCCUAACACCGCUUCUUUGUCAUCUGUGUUGCAUACGAAGCCGGCUUUGUCGUUUGCAUUCCCGGCCAGCAAGCUGUGCGCACCUCAGAGAAAAGUCGGUGCCGACAAAAUUUCAAAAAAGAAUUUCUCGCAUCUAAAAAUGCCUUUUUUAACUUCACACAUGCAUAGCAGACAUGUAGAGCUAUCCAAUAAUGUAUCGCAUUUUUUCGCCAACUACGAAGGCUGUUUUUUCCUUGAACAUGAAGCUUCUUGCAAAAGAUUAGAAUUUUUUUUUACAGGCGAUCAGCUGAACCUUCAGAGCUUCAUAUAUUUUUCUGCUAUACUAUGUCACCUGGGCUACCAUUCUGUAUUUAAUUUCUGUCCUGUGAAUUUUUUCUGACGAAAAAAAAACUAACGGAUUGCAAUUUGACUCAUUUUUGCCGGUGCCAAAAGCAAUUGAAGUAUUCAAAUAUUUGAAAAAUUGGCAAUUUUGGCAGUUUCAUCACUUCACCGUAUUUCCACGCACACCAUUUGAAGGCCUCGAUCAAUACAAUGUGCAUUUGAAAAAAAAAAGUAUUUGAAGCAUUUGAAAAAAAAAUGAAAAGCUAGAGGACAUUUGAUGUCCUCUAGCUCAGCUGAACAGGAAAACUAAACUGUCACCUAAAAUGCUACAAAAUAUCUGGCAAAAAUAAAUAAAAGUGGGUAACGAGCUUCGAACUCUAGUAAACAUAUGGCAAUGUUUCAGAUAUAUGUGCGGUGUCAAAAAAAUGCUUGUCAAUUCGGCAUGGAAUCGCGCACCUGCAAGUGCAUCUGUGCCAUUUUUAGAGUUCAGUAAAAACGGCAUUUCACAUAACUUUGUAAAAAUAGUUUAUUGCUAUCUAAAAUACAUGAGUAAAAUUAAUAGGUAUAAGUCGGCUUAAAUUUAAUAUGCAACGAAACAUCUCCAGUAAUGGCGAUGAUGUGCCUUUCAUGUUUACAUAAAACCAUAUCUUCUGAAUUCUUUCGUUAUUUUUUGUGGCAGCGAAUAAAAUUGAAAUGGAACUCGCACAAGGAGCAACUUUGCUGUAUUCCAGCACAUCUCUAAUAGCUGUCUUUGUUUCAUAUGAAAAUCUGAAGCAGUUACCCGCCGUGGUUGCUCAGUGGCUAUGGUGUUAGACUGCUGAGCACGAGGUCGCGGGAUCGAAUCCCGGCCACGGCGGCCGCAUUUCGAUGGGGGCGAAAUGCGAAAACACCCGUGUACUUAGAUUUAGGUGCACGUUAAAGAACCCCAGGUGGUCGAAAUUUCCGGAGUCCUCCACUACGGCGUGCCUCAUAAUCAGAAAGUGGUUUUGGCACGUAAAACCCCAUAAUUUAAUUUAAUUAAUCUGAAGCAGUUAAUAUGAAUAAGUCGCUUGAUAUGGAAUUACCUGUGCAGGAACGUUAUCAUGGCAGAAAACACAACUGGAUCAUGCAACAGCAAUGCAGCAUAAUAAACUGCUCCCAUAAGCAUCACUUAUUGUGAUUGCCAUGUUUCAAAAGUAUGUAAGGUUUACUGAAAUUGGCGCACACCAUUCAACCAACAUAUAAGGAUUGUACAGUGAUCCUUUUUCAGUUUUACAGAUAUUUAAGUUGUCUGCCAGGUAGCAUAAUUCUUGUUCUUGAGCUGGAUUAUUCAGAGGUGGACAUUACUAGCACAAGAAAUGAAAACAUUAAACUGAUUGUCAUAAAUUUCUUAAUUCACUUAUAACAUCACAGCAGAUAUUUCAGUUUGCAAAUUGUAGCCAGUGAGUUUUCAAGACAUUCACUUGAAAUUAAUUUCCAAGAUGACACCAGUUUCGAAAUUUUUCCAUAAAUGUGAGAGAAAUACAUGGGCAUUCCGGUUACUUUUGUGCUUCGAUGCAUAACAGUGCGUUUUGUUAAAAAAAUGUCAGUGCUACAGCAGUGCAUUUCUACAGCCAGUUUGAUGGCAUGUGUCUCGUUGCUAGUGUCAUUCUGGAAAUUCAUUCUAAGUGCAUACACCUUGUAAAAUUACCGGCUACAAUUCGUAAAAACUUUAUUAGGAACUGAGUUUUUGUUAAUCAGCUGACUAUGGUGUCUUGUUUCUCAUGCAAGUAAUGUUUGGCACUCUGUAUCUAGAAUUAUGUUAGCUGCAACAGUCAGUCUUCAAUUAGUUCCUUGAAACUUAAAGAUAACCACCCUGCAUAUCAGGUCUCAGUUGAGUGCUGUGGGCACAAGCAAAUUGUGCCAUGGUUAUAGUACCACUGGCUACCUAAUAGAGAAAGCAAGUACCUUUUUUGAGUGUUCUUAUUUAGUCAUGUCAGUCUGCUUGUACAUUUUUUUAUUUAGGCAUUUAUUUUUUAGAAUUUAUUUUUUGGUAAAUGUGUUUUACUUGAGAGCCACACUGACUACAUCUUCAGUAUUCAAUUUUGUUAUGGUGUCAAGCUGCAGGAAGUUUGUACUGUGCGAUAGUUUUUAAGAAGUUUCUGAUCUCAAACUACAAAUGGUUGUACAUUUACACAGAUGUGUGGUUACAAAUAAACAGUUCACCUAGAAAAA